rnacentral:rRNA from 1 species
GUGCCAGCCGCCGCGGUAAUACAGAGGUCUCAAGCGUUGUUCGGAUUUAUUGGGCGUAAAGCGUGCGUAGGCGGCGGGGUAAGUGAGGUGUGAAAUCCCAGGGCUUAACCCUGGAACUGCACUUUAUACUGCCUUGCUCGAGGGCUGGAGAGGAGACUGGAAUUUACGGUGUAGCAGUGAAAUGCGUAGAGAUCGUAAGGAAGACCAGUGGCGAAGGCGAGUCUCUGGAAAGCUGCUGACGCUGAGGCACGAAGGCCAGGGGAGCAAACGGGAUUAGAUACCCCCGUAGUCC